CCCUCAUCGUUGAAUUAAAUUUUGUAGUCAAAAUUUGGUACAUAAUAUGCUUCCGUAAAAGGAAUAGCAAUGGAAAUCAAGUACAUAGCAUGCUUCCUUAAAAGGCAUUACAGAAUGUGGGCUGUCAUUAUAAUCAAAGUCACGGCAAUAUUGAGAAAAUGGUAACAAAAUUGUAAAAUGCUCUGUUACUGCAUUAAAAGGUGGAAGAACUAGACCCACAGACAAGUAAAGCAGUAUUUGGUAUCUUCCUAAGCUCCUCAUGUCGAACAAAAACUGAAAACUUCAAAACCUAUUACUAUAAAACACCAAAUACCUGCAUGGGACAACACAAACCGAGCGUAAGGAAUAAGGUAAUAUGAAGUUGAUACCUAUAAAUAAUGACUCACUCACCCCAGCCAGAAUGUCUUUUGAGAGUUGAGAUUUGCUUUCUUCCACUUUAUUUGCAACUGGUUUUGUCUGUGGGAAUUGACGGAUGACCUUCGGUGCUUGCUCACCAACAGAGAGUUGACCUCCUGACUCUUGUUGGACCUUUUGUUUCUUUUUUAAUCGUUCUUCUAUAGAACUCAAAGCACGAGAUUGAUCCACCUUAUUGAGAUAGAAAUCCCGCUCCCUCUUUGCAGCAGAAAUUUCUAGAGCUAAUUUCUGCUCCCGUAUAACACUCUUAUAUGCAAUUUCUUCUGUAAGAUCAUCCCACUUGAAUUUACUCAAGUAUUUGAUAUUCCAAAGGUCAUAAUAGAAUUGAGACCUCUUUCUGCCACCUAUUUGUUCACCAUUUAACAUAUUAGCAACCCUUUUUGCAAUGCUCUUAUUGGUAAAUUCAACCCACCCUUCAGAGAAUUCUUGACCUCGAAAUCCACCAGCUCUUUUGCGAUUUACUCGAGCAGUGGGAUCUUCAGGUGCAAGGUAGAUCCUCUGUAUUUCUCCAUAUUGGGAAAGAAUAUGACGAAGCUUUACAUGAUCCAUGUGGGGAGGGAUUUGACUUAAGUAGCAAACACCACGCUUGUCAGCCUUAGCAGCUUCCUUUAGUAACUGCUCUUUCUUCUUCUUCUUCUUUUUAAGCCUAUUGACCAUUUCAACAUUGGAUUUUGGAUCCUCUUCUUCUAUAGGAUUUAUUCCAAUGACCUCUUCUUCUUCCUUGCCUUUUGCAGUUUCAAUUUUUCCACCUUCAGCUGCUGGAUUCACCUCCUGUGGAAAACCCACUGUAUUAACAUCUUCCUCUUCAUCCUCAGCAGUUUUCUGUAAUAAUUGCCUUCUUGUUUCCUUUACUUUCUUUUUCCUCUCACCAUUAGAUUUUUUACUACCUUCCUUGCUUAAAGAAGCUUCCUCCAACAAUUUCUUCUUUAUUUUAUUUUUUCCACUUUUCACCCUCAUAUCACCAGCUUGUAAAUUCCCUCCAGCUGGAGGGCUGUGUUCAUUGAUCUCCUGUUCAUGCUCUGUUUUUACACUUUCCUGCGAUUGCUUUUUCUUUUUAUUCUUCCUACUUGUAGCCCUUUCUGCACUGGAAUUUGGACACCCUUCAUUCUGAGAACUCGACCCAUUAACCUUAUAUUCUUCAUUAGCCAUUCUGCCUAAUGAAAUAAAAUGAAAAUACAAUCUCACUUGCAGAGAAGGAAAUAUAUGCAGAUAGUUAAGCUAAUACAAACAAUUAAAUACUCUACAUUUUUAAUAUAAAAUAAAUGAAUAAAAAUGUGAAUUUUCCACCUGCAUUUGUAUAAAACAAAUGAGCGGUAACCUAUUCAUCAAAUCACAUUUAAAGCAUGUUCCACAUUCCAAAGCUACACAAUGCAUACAUUCUAGGUAUUGAAGAUGAAGCUUAACCUGUCCACUCAUUACUCUGGGUGAAAUCAAUACCAAGAAGGAGAUUUGGGGACUCAAGGCCUGCACGUUUAAGAGCAACAUUCACCUGACCCAAAGUUUUGCACUCAGCAGCAAGUGUUUCAGAGCAGAAGCUGAAAUAGUCUCCAAAAUAGGAUGACUGAGAAUAUCCAUAUGGACCCCUUGAAGAAGAAUUUGAACCCUCACAUGAGCUUUUGCCCACAGUUUGCUUCCCCAUUUUGGAAAGCUGAGCGUGAAAAAUUUUGGGGGUAUGGUCGGUGAGUAAUGGAAAUCGACAAGAUCUCAGAAUUCCUUUUUGUGAAGUAACAACACCCUUGAUCAGUUCCUCCUGCUAGAUCCUAUCAGCAUCAAUCAGCAGAACCCAAGAACCCGACUCAGUCGCCAGGAGAAGCAACAAGCUGUGAAGGAAUGAUCUCGAAAUUUAUGCUACUUGCGCUGGUUCAUACCCUAAACCGGAGUAUUGUAUAUUCUUGGGUAUAAUUUUCCUUAAGCGGGUGGGCUUCAAUUGAUCCAAUGCCAGACAGACAGCAAUA
rnacentral:misc_RNA from 1 species